UCCAGACUCCUACGGGAGGCAGCAGUGAGGAAUAUUGGUCAAUGGGCGAGAGCCUGAACCGGCCAAGUCGCGUGAGGGAGUACUGCCCUAUGGGUUGUAAACCUCUUUUGUCGGAGAGCAAAAGCCGGACGUGUCCGGCUGUGAGAGUACCCGAAGAAAAAGCAUCGGCUAACUCCGUGCCAGCAGCCGCGGUAAUACGGAGGAUGCGAGCGUUAUCCGGAAUUAUUGGGCGCAAAGGGUGCGUAGAUGGCAUAGUAAGUCUUUUGUAAAAAUGCUGGGCUCAACCCAGUAGGGCAAAAGAUACUGCAAAGCUAGAGUAUGACAGAGGCAAGUGGAACUACAUGUGUAGCGGUAAAAUGCGUAAAUAUAUGUAAGAACACCAGUGGCGAAGGCGGCUUGCUGGGUCGAUACUGACAUUGAGGCACGAAAGCGUGGGGAGCAAACAGGAUUAGAUACCCCAGUAA
rnacentral:rRNA from 1 species